rnacentral:rRNA from 1 species
GGGCCCGCACAAGCGGUGGAGCAUGUGGUUUAAUUCGAUGAUACGCGAGGAACCUUACCAGGGCUUAAAUGCAGAAUGACAGAUUGGGAAACCAGUCCUUCUUCGGACAUUUUGCAAGGUGCUGCAUGGUUGUCGUCAGCUCGUGCCGUGAGGUGUCAGGUUAAGUCCUAUAACGAGCGCAACCCCUAUCAUUAGUUGCCAGCGGGUAAUGCCGGGAACUCUAAUGAGACUGCCAGCGCAAGCUGCGAGGAAGGUGGGGAUGACGUCAAAUCAUCACGGCCCUUACGUCCUGGCUACACACGUGCUACAAUGGUUGGGACAAUGGGCAGCCACUACGCGAGGGGGAGCGGA